AAAUUGAAGAGUUUGAUCAUGGCUCAGAUUGAACGCUGGCGGCAGGCCUAACACAUGCAAGUCGAGCGGUAGCACAGAGAGCUUGCUCUCGGGUGACGAGCGGCGGACGGGUGAGUAAUGUCUGGGAAACUGCCUGAUGGAGGGGGAUAACUACUGGAAACGGUAGCUAAUACCGCAUAACGUCGCAAGACCAAAGUGGGGGACCUUCGGGCCUCAUGCCAUCAGAUGUGCCCAGAUGGGAUUAGCUAGUAGGUGGGGUAAUGGCUCACCUAGGCGACGAUCCCUAGCUGGUCUGAGAGGAUGACCAGCCACACUGGAACUGAGACACGGUCCAGACUCCUACGGGAGGCAGCAGUGGGGAAUAUUGCACAAUGGGCGCAAGCCUGAUGCAGCCAUGCCGCGUGUGUGAAGAAGGCCUUCGGGUUGUAAAGCACUUUCAGCGGGGAGGAAGGCGUGAAGGUUAAUAACCUUGGCGAUUGACGUUACCCGCAGAAGAAGCACCGGCUAACUCCGUGCCAGCAGCCGCGGUAAUACGGAGGGUGCAAGCGUUAAUCGGAAUUACUGGGCGUAAAGCGCACGCAGGCGGUCUGUCAAGUCGGAUGUGAAAUCCCCGGGCUCAACCUGGGAACUGCAUUCGAAACUGGCAGGCUAGAGUCUUGUAGAGGGGGGUAGAAUUCCAGGUGUAGCGGUGAAAUGCGUAGAGAUCUGGAGGAAUACCGGUGGCGAAGGCGGCCCCCUGGACAAAGACUGACGCUCAGGUGCGAAAGCGUGGGGAGCAAACAGGAUUAGAUACCCUGGUAGUCCACGCCGUAAACGAUGUCGAUUUGGAGGUUGUGCCCUUGAGGCGUGGCUUCCGGAGCUAACGCGUUAAAUCGACCGCCUGGGGAGUACGGCCGCAAGGUUAAAACUCAAAUGAAUUGACGGGGGCCCGCACAAGCGGUGGAGCAUGUGGUUUAAUUCGAUGCAACGCGAAGAACCUUACCUGGUCUUGACAUCCACAGAACUUUCCAGAGAUGGAUUGGUGCCUUCGGGAACUGUGAGACAGGUGCUGCAUGGCUGUCGUCAGCUCGUGUUGUGAAAUGUUGGGUUAAGUCCCGCAACGAGCGCAACCCUUAUCCUUUGUUGCCAGCGGUUAGGCCGGGAACUCAAAGGAGACUGCCAGUGAUAAACUGGAGGAAGGUGGGGAUGACGUCAAGUCAUCAUGGCCCUUACGACCAGGGCUACACACGUGCUACAAUGGCAUAUACAAAGAGAAGCGACCUCGCGAGAGCAAGCGGACCUCAUAAAGUAUGUCGUAGUCCGGAUUGGAGUCUGCAACUCGACUCCAUGAAGUCGGAAUCGCUAGUAAUCGUAGAUCAGAAUGCUACGGUGAAUACGUUCCCGGGCCUUGUACACACCGCCCGUCACACCAUGGGAGUGGGUUGCAAAAGAAGUAGGUAGCUUAACCUUCGGGAGGGCGCUUACCACUUUGUGAUUCAUGACUGGGGUGAAGUCGUAACAAGGUAACCGUAGGGGAACCUGCGGUUGGAUCACCUCCUUA
rnacentral:rRNA from 1 species